AGACGAGUUUGAUCCUGGCUCAGAACGAACGCUGGCGGCAUGCCCUAACACAUGCAAGUCGAACGAGACCUUCGGGUCUAGUGGCGCACGGGUGCGUAACGCGUGGGAAUCUGCCCUUCGGUUCGGAAUAACUCAGGGAAACUUGAGCUAAUACCGGAUAAUGACGUAAGUCCAAAGAUUUAUCGCCGAAGGAUGAGCCCGCGUAGGAUUAGCUUGUUGGUGGGGUAAUGGCCCACCAAGGCGACGAUCCUUAGCUGGUCUGAGAGGAUGAUCAGCCACACUGGGACUGAGACACGGCCCAGACUCCUACGGGAGGCAGCAGUGGGGAAUAUUGGACAAUGGGCGAAAGCCUGAUCCAGCAAUGCCGCGUGAGUGAUGAAGGCCUUAGGGUUGUAAAGCUCUUUACCCGGGAUGAUAAUGACAGUACCGGGAGAAUAAGCUCCGGCUAACUCCGUG
rnacentral:rRNA from 1 species